rnacentral:sRNA from 1 species
AAGUUCACCAUCUUUCGA